GACGAACGCUGGCGGCGUGCUUAACACAUGCAAGUCGAACGGAAAGGCCCUGCUUUUGUGGGAUGCUCGAGUGGCGAACGGGUACGUAAAACGAAAGUACCCUGCCCUUGACUAUGAGAUAACGUCAGGAAACUGGGGCUAAUACCGGAUAGGAGCUCCUGCUGCAUGGUUGGGGGUGGAAAGUUUCGGCGGUAGGGGAUGGACUUGCGGCUUAUCAGCUUGUUGGUGGGGUAGUGGCUUACCAUUGCUUUGACGAGUAGCCGGCCUGGGAGGGUGACCGGCCACAGUGGGAUUGAGAUACGGCCCAGACUCCUACUGGAGGCAGCAGUGGGGAAUAGUGCACAAUGGGCGGCAGCCGGAUGCAGCAACGCCGCGUGCUGGAUGACGGCCUUCUGGUUGUAAACCGCUUUCGCCUGUGACGAAGCGGGAGUGACGGUAAUGGGUAAAGAAGCACCGGCUAACUACGUG
rnacentral:rRNA from 1 species